UGAUUUCUUCCAUUUAGGCAAAUAUUUUAUAAAUGUUCAAAUGUGUGGGUUGUUUCUUGUUUACUAUAUUCCAAGGAUCAGCCUAUUUUGAUUUAUGUGGGGCAGAGGAUGGGUCUAUUCGAAUCUGGUCGCUUAUCAUGUUCUGCAUUCUUGUAUAUUCCCUUGUUGAUCUCAUACAUGAUAUUUUAAAUGGCUUAUCAUUGUGUAAGAAUAUAUAUUUGUUUUCCAUUUGAUGAAUAUAUGAUCUUUAAUUGUCAUUAAGCACCUGAGUUAAGGUCUGCUUGUUGUUUAAGAAUUUAUAUUUGUUUUCCAUUUGAUGAACUUCAGGUCCAUAUAUAUUUUUCUAAUAAUGUGUAAAUAUGUGUUCAGGGAGAGCAUUUAUUCAUGUGUUCAGCCAGCAGGGAUAUGUGUGUAAGUAUGUGUAAAUAUGUGUUCAUGGGGCAUUCGUACACGUGUCUUGCAGUAACUGAUGAGUGUGUUUUAUAUACACAAAUUAGGUACUUUUGAGUUUAAUAAUUUGUAAAUCCUAAGCUAGUUUGUUUGCUUUUUAUGUGUUUUCAUUGUAUUGUUGUGUAAUAUAGUUUUAUAUUGCUUUUAUGUAUAUUUGUAUUAGUUUUAUGUGUUUUUACUUUGUUUUGUAGGAAUUGGAUGGAAUGUCAUUUGGGUCGAUGGUUGGAAUCGCCAAAUUCGCAUUUUCGGUUUGUCAUUGACAUAGCAGUCCCGUAAACCCCAAUUUUUUCCAUGAUCCGGCCAUUAUCUGCCCAAACUUCAAGAAUGGACUCUUCUUUCCGGAUCAUCUUGAAUCGCCUCAAUCGGAGUUCGGAUACGAGAUUUAUGGCCAUUUUCCCAACGGGUGUCAAAUCUGGAAACUACCAAUUGCUAUUUGCAUAGCAGUCACUUUAAGGCCAAUUUGAACAUUGCUCUAGCCAUUAUUUCGAAGAACUCAAAGAAUGAAAGUUGUAUAUCUACUUCUCCUCUUUCCGGAUCAUCUUGAAUCGCCUCAAUCUGAGUUCGUAUGAAGAAGUUAUGGCCAUUUUCCCAACAGAUGUCCAAGCAGAAAAUGGCCCGGCGCU
rnacentral:lncRNA from 1 species